rnacentral:ribozyme from 1 species
CACCGGACUUAGACGACUUGAGUGCUCACGGGGAAACCCGCGAAGUAGAACUGCUCAAAUUCGGGGAACCCUGUAAAAUGGCGAUCCCGAGCCAAGCCCGCCCAUCCCGGCGGGAAGGUGUAGAGACUAGACGGGCAGCACCUGCACCCCGCUCCUGCGAGCGGGGCAUGGUGAAGGGAUAGUCCAGACCACAAACGCUUGCCCUGCGGG